GACAGAGGUGGCGAGCGUUGUUCGGAUUUACUGGGCGUAAAGAGUGCGUAGGUGGUGAGGUAAGAUCUGUGGGAAAGACCUGGGCUUAACCCAGGAAGGUCGCAGAUGACUGCCUCGCUUGAGGACGGGAGAGGAGAGCGGAAUUCCCGGUGUAGCGGUGAAAUGCGUAGAGAUCGGGAAGAAGGCCGGUGGCGAAGGCGGCUUCCUGGACCGACACUGACGCUGAGGCGCGAAAGCUAGGGGAGCAAACGGG
rnacentral:rRNA from 1 species